rnacentral:lncRNA from 1 species
UUUAUUGAAAUUCAUUUUUACACACAUUCAACUUCAACAAUCCUCCACUGUCUCUUCUUAGAAGACGAGAGUCUAUCAGUAACAUCAUCUCUAUUCCUCCGGAGUAGGGGUAAUGUCUGCGUAUACAUUAUCUUCCCCAGAGCCCACUUCGAAAUUCCAUUGGGUUGUUUUUGUUGUAGUAUUAACUUCAACAAUCCAUUUUUUCAACUUCAACAGAAUAUUUUCCAAACAAACCCGAAUCUUGAUUUCCAGAAAAGAAUAUAGAAGAAAACAGGAGAAAAUGUGUAAAAACAAGAAGCCAUUACUUAACAGCAUUCAUGGCUUUGUGCAUCUUAGAGUCGAGAAGAAACUUGGAAGGAGAAGUGAGAAGGAGGGUUUUCACCUGCUGAAGAGGGAUGGGUGUACAUCACUAGAGCAAUAUAUUGCUGAGAAACAGGUAAGAAAUUGCAGCAUUUUCAUUUGAUGGAUUUUCAAAUGAAGUUAUAGCAUUUAACACAAAACUCUUGUCCUUCUAUUAAGAAUCUGAAAAAACUUAAAACCAUAAUGGCACACAGGUCACUUAGCUUCCACUAUACAACAUCACAAUAAAAAGAACGGACCACCGAAUGAAACAAAUUAAAAAGGGAAUUGAAUGAAAAAUACCUACUUACAUUAGGAGGAACACCUUAUAACAUGGAAAAAGAGGGCUUAGUGUAAUUAGAACAUGAGUAAUUAGAACUUCUCUCAUGCUUAAAUCAAUUCUGCAGAAGAACAAUCACAGCAAGUACUGAUCAACUAAAAGUAUAUUUCAAAUUUGGAUUCCAACUAAUAAGAGGGCACGAGCUAUUUGUCACCUAGUUUAACUAAACAAGUUGCAAGAUUCUUGUUCAAGACAAUGAAAUAAUCAGCUGAUAUUGUCUUUCACAAUAUGACUAAAAGUGGGUAUCAAAUGUUAUGCACCUACAUUUUAAAAAAAAUUACAAUAACUAAUUUAAAAUCUUAAGUCCAAAUUUCAACACCUUUGAUAAUUUCACAAAGAAAAUCUAUUUUGAUCUUACUCUUCUCGCAACAAAACCCAAAACACAGUUUAUCACCAAAAUGAAUCACAAAAAAUUGAAAGUAGUAAAGAAAAAGUAUAAAAGCAGGUCACAUGCUUGUCACAAAUAGCCUACACUAUUACACAAAAAGAAAAAGAAAAAUCAAACAUGCUUCAAUCCUUUAUUAGUGUGAUCCAUUCUCAGAACUAACUAGAGGGAUGAUUAGCAGUUGAGUCAAAAGAAAAGGAAAGUAAAGAAAAAGGCAAAAGGGAGCUCCCUUCAGUCCAAGCACAGAUAAAAAGGGAUGAAUUUACCUCCCGCAUCAUUCACACAUUCACAGUAGCGUAUAGAAAUACAUAUAUGAUUUCUACUGUGUUUGAAUGAAUGAGUCGGCAGCUAAUCCAAAUCCCUUCAUCCACCUAUGAGUGGACUGAAGGAAGCUCUCUUAAACCAUUCAAUACCGAAUUAAAUGAAUGAAACAGGUAAAUUACAAACAAAUUUCUAAGAGGCUCAAAACUCAAACGAGCAAAUAAGCAGUGUUAUGUGCCCAAACAUUUUCAUAAUUUUUUCAGUUUUCUAUAAGAAGAUAUUUUGGCAGAUCUCAUCAAAAAAAAUUGGGUAGAUAAAAAAUGUAUGGUGAUUUUUGAUAUGAGAGUAGAAAUUCUCCUUACAUUGAUGCUUAUGAUUCAAGAUCAAUGGAUUUCACAUGUGGAAAGCAGCAACUCUUUUGACUCUUGAAAUCGGACGGCGCCACACAAAUGAAAUGUAUUUUUGGUGUUUUCUUUUCUAAAUUUAAAGAGCUAAUAUAGGGUUCUGAAGGCAAAUGAAUAGAAGGUGGAAAGUAAUAUACCUGCAACAUACCCUAGACCUAAAAGGAAAACAGAUGUUCUUAAAAGGCAAAGGAAAAAAUUAACGAGACGCAGUAACUCAAAAGCAGUAAUAUUUGUUAGUUUUUCUGCCCCUACUCUAAUUGGCUGAAUGAACCCUAACCCUAACCCACUGCAAAUCCAAGAAGGAGAAGCUUGGCGAAAGCCUAGACUAGCAAUUGACCACAGUAGAAAGAUCAGAUUACAAGGACAAAAUCAAACUCACAUAACAUCGUACAAAUUAAAAGCGCAUUUACCCCUGUUAAUUGAUGAUCUGGUGAAGGAAGGAAAGAUACUCCUGAAGCAGUGACCAACUCUCUUUAACGUCAAAUAGUAAAAGCAAUGACAUUAUAAAACUUACUACUUCGUAAUAUCCAAAACAGAUAAACGUAUAAUCAGCGAAAUAAAUAUUAACAACGAAAAAAAAACUUUUUCUCCACUUCCCUAAGAAAAUCAAUCGUUGAACCAUGCAAGUGUUCUGAAGAAAACGAGAGAAAUGGAAGAAAAAAAGAAGGGAAAAAAGGAGAAAGGGGAAAGAGUAAGCAAGAAUCACGGAAGAGGGAUAGGUAGUAUUGGUUAUAUUAGCUUAAGUAGAGUGUAGUGUCACUCUCGGCCUAAGAGUCAGAGCAAAAGGGAAAGCGAUGUAUGAAUGAAGAUCUCUACAAAUCUCUGCCAAAGAGAAACCAAACCUAGUGGCUAGUGGGGGUUC